GAAUUCGCCCUUAGAGUUUGAUCCUGGCUCAGGAUGAACGCUGGCGGCGCGCCUAACACAUGCAAGUCGAACGAGCGAGAGAGAGCUUGCUUUCUCGAGCGAGUGGCGAACGGGUGAGUAACGCGUGAGGAACCUGCCUCAAAGAGGGGGACAACAGUUGGAAACGACUGCUAAUACCGCAUAAGCCCACAGCUCGGCAUCGAGCAGAGGGAAAAGGAGCAAUCCGCUUUGAGAUGGCCUCGCGUCCGAUUAGCUAGUUGGUGAGGUAACGGCCCACCAAGGCGACGAUCGGUAGCCGGACUGAGAGGUUGAACGGCCACAUUGGGACUGAGACACGGCCCAGACUCCUACGGGAGGCAGCAGUGGGGAAUAUUGCACAAUGGGGGAAACCCUGAUGCAGCGACGCCGCGUGGAGGAAGAAGGUCUUCGGAUUGUAAACUCCUGUUGUUGAGGAAGAUAAUGACGGUACUCAACAAGGAAGUGACGGCUAACUACGUGCCAGCAGCCGCGGUAAAACGUAGGUCACAAGCGUUGUCCGGAAUUACUGGGUGUAAAGGGAGCGCAGGCGGGAAGGCAAGUUGGAAGUGAAAUCCAUGGGCUCAACCCAUGAACUGCUUUCAAAACUGUUUUUCUUGAGUAGUGCAGAGGUAGGCGGAAUUCCCGGUGUAGCGGUGGAAUGCGUAGAUAUCGGGAGGAACACCAGUGGCGAAGGCGGCCUACUGGGCACCAACUGACGCUGAGGCUCGAAAGUGUGGGUAGCAAACAGGAUUAGAUACCCUGGUAGUCCACACCGUAAACGAUGAU
rnacentral:rRNA from 1 species